UGGACAUUGCCGCCAUCGACUUUUUCCGGGGGCGAACAGCAGCGAGUUAACAUCGCCCGUGGCUUUAUAUCCGACAUGCCGAUCCUGCUGCUCGAUGAGCCGACCGCCUCACUCGAUGGCGUCAACCGAAAGAUUGUCGUGGAUCUGGUUGCUGAGAAGAAAAUGCGCGGCGUGGCGAUGGUAGCCAUCGUUCACGACGACGAGGUUCGUCAUCUGAUUGCCGAUCGUGUCAUUGACGUCAUGUCAU
rnacentral:misc_RNA from 1 species